rnacentral:lncRNA from 1 species
AGAAGGGAGCUGCUGUCUGAGGAGGAAACUGCAUCUUCACGGGCCAGCUACGAGAGGAUCUGGGGUCGCGCUGGGCGCCCGACGGACCCUCCCCAGGGACUCGCCUGCCCCACACCGCCCGGCCUUGCCCGGCGCUCCGCGUCAAGUUCCCCAGCCGCAGCCUUACCUACGGGCUCCAGAAUCCUCAGGGCUUCCAGAGGAUGCUCAGCCCACCGACGGGGACCUCGGGGCAGCAGUGAGGGGGGCACCCAGCCCCCCAUUCAGCUCCUGUCCUCUUGGGCCGGGGGCCUCCCCGGGGGGAAGAGCAUGGUGGUUUUCCCUUGGAGCCCCCUGGCUUGGUACGUCUGAGAAGAUGCCUGCCAUGAGGCUCUUCACUUGCUUCCUGCAGCUUCUGGCUGGGCUGGCACUGCCGGCUGUGCCCCCCCAGCAGUGGGCCUUGUCUGCUGGGAACAGCUCAUCGGAGGUGGAAGUGGUGCCCUUCCAGGAGGUGUGGGGCCGCAGCUACUGCCGGGCGCUGGAGAGGCUGGUGGACAUCGUGUCUGUGUACCCCAGUGAGGUGGAGCACAUGUUCAGCCCGUCCUGCGUCUCCCUGCUGCGCUGCACCGGCUGCUGUGGCGACGAGAACCUGCACUGUGUGCCCGUGGAGACGGUCAAUGUCACCAUGCAGCUCCUGAAGAUCCGCUCUGGGGACCGGCCCUCCUACGUGGAGCUGACAUUCUCUCAGCACGUGCGCUGCGAGUGCAGGUGGGUCCUGGGGUGUGGCAGGGACAGUCCCCACGCACUUGGCAGCUUCAGCCCAGGGGCUGCCCAUUCCUGCUUCAGGCCACACUUCCUUCCUGGCUGAGGCAGGCUAGGGAGACCGGGGGCCAGGGGCAGUUGCCUUGUGUCUCCCCAGCAGCUGGUUUUGCCCCGGGAAGUGGUCCCAGCAGCUGGAGCACAGCUGCCAAGAAGCCACAGGGACAAAGGGAGCUGGGGUCCCUCCCAGACUUGCAGGGGGCUCGGGGCCCACCCUCUCCGACCCUGAGCAGGAGGUGGCUGCCACAGCCCUAGCAGAGGUGCCUGGAUUUAGUUGUAGGCCAGGCUGGUGCCUACAGGAGGGGUAGCUGGGCUGAGAAGCACAAGACGACAAGCCUGGGUGGGAGGAAAGGGACAGAGGGAAGAAGGCCCUGGCUUUCUUUCAAGUCACACCCCUGCCUGGCAGAGCCUCUCAUUGGCACCAGUCUUGCUGUGGGUGCCCAAGGCACUCUGCACGUUAGUUACCGGGAGCAGCAGGGCCAGCACUGCCAACCAGGCUCAGGGAAGAGAAAAAUGGGCUCAGGUGCUCUCCUGGUGCCCCUCGGCCAUGGAUGGAGGCACCAGGCCAGAGGUCCCAAGCCCUAUCGGGGGGCAGGAAGAGGGGAGGAUCUCCAUUUAUGGGGCACCUACUCUGUGCCUUGAGGCACUUGAAUGUGUUUUCUCAUUUAUUUAACAAACAUCUAUGGAGCACCUACUGUAUGCUAGGCACUGUCCCAGAUGCCUGGGGUACAGUAGUGAGCAAGACACACCAGGUCCCUGCUCUCAUAACCCCAGGAGGUAGGUACUAUUGGCAUCCCAUUGUGCAGAUGAGGAAACCGAGGCUCGGUGUGAGUCUGUGAUUUGUCACAGCUAGUGAGUGAACCCCAGCCUGUCUGACUCCUAAGCCUGCCCCUUUCCUGCUCCCUGUCAUGGCCAUGGCCUCACUCUCCAGGAGUCCCAGACUGCCCUGGCCUUGGUCCUGCCUAGAGUCCAGGACACUGGCCACCCCUCGUGGACCUGUACCACUGUUAGAGGCCCUGCCUCAGUCUGUUUCCUCCUGUCUGUCCUUAGCCGUGUAACAAUAGUUCAGUAAUGAACCCUUUCAGACACAGUACUGGACAAUGACCUUUCACCUCCCACAUCACCUUUGCCCUCACAAUUGGUCUAUUAGGGCAGGUAGAUGAGGAGACUGAGGGCUAUAGAGUGUCUCUGACUGGUCCCAGAUGGCAGAGACAGGACCAGGCAGUUUCAGGAAGGGCUGGUACCCUAUCCUGGCUUCCCCCAGCCCUAAAGCUGACUGCACCACACUGCCCCAUGCCCUCACCCUGGUUCCCAGGGAAGACUGAGGCUCCAUCCCCUUUCAGAGGGCUGGGCAACAGGGCUACCUUUCUCCUCUCUCGGGGUCAACAGCCACAGCCCUGAGAGGCAGAGCCAGGACAAGCUUGGCGACUGUGGGGCCUGUGCUCCCCUCCCUUCACCCCACUCCUCACCUGAGCCCCUUGCUGUUGCCUGCAGCGUCACACAUCUCCAGGAUGGGGGUGCAGCUGUGCCCUGACAGGUGGCCUUGCCCCUCUUUCAUGGUCUGAGGAGACUCCCAGAGGGCAUUCUGGAAGGAAGAGCAGGCACAAGGGAAGAGAGUGAAACAAGAAAGGUGGCAGAAAGGAGAGUCAGUCCCCUGAUUUGACGCCAAGAGGGAGAGUAGAGCAGAGGGUGUGGAGAGGACCCCAAGAGGGCAUUCACACCUCUCUGCAUGGGGUCACCAGAGCCUAGAGUGGGAGCCCCAGGCCCCAGACUUCUGGGCAUCGCUCCCUCACUGGCUCCAUGCUACCCCCUAGUGGCUUCAAUGCCAACUACAGGAUCGGCACUAGAAAGGAGGAGACCCAAGGGCAGGGGGAAGAGGAAGAGAGAGAAGCAGAGACACACAGACUGCCACCUGUGCGGUGAUACUGUUCCCCGGAGGUAACCAGCCCCUCGGAGGAGAGAGACGGAGACCCCACGCCCGGCUCGUGUAUUUAUUACCGUUACACUCUCAGUUACCUCCCUGCUGGCACCUGCCCUCUAUUUAUUAGCCAAGUGUAUCCCUGCUGAAUGACUCACUCCCUUCAAGAUGAGGGGCAGGAAGGGACAGGACCCUCAGGAAUUCAGUGCCUUAAACAGAACGUGAGAGAAAGAAAGAAGACAGAUCCACGCGUGCGUCAUCUGGGGAAGAAGCAAGACUUGUGGCUUUGUGAGGGGCGUGUCACACCCCAGAGGCCUGAGGGUCUCCAGGGUGCUGGAGAGGGAGGGACGGGGGGGACAUGCCACCUGUCCCCAGGGCCUUGGGCUCUGCCGGGACCAGCAGCCCUUGCCUGGGGAGCUCCCUGCCGGGAUGAGGGUGGAGGAGCCUUCUCUGGCCACCGUGGCCCCUGCCGGGAGGGCGGGCAAGCAGCAGCCCCGCGCCCUGGAGACAGGAUGUUCAGCUCUGGAGACCAGUGGUUGCCUGGGGGCCUUUGCCACUCCUUGUCCCCUAGGUCUCGCCUCAUAUCUUACCACCGCUUGUGCUGGGACAUUGCUCUUUAUGCCAAGGCAUCCCCACCUGCCCCUCUCGGGGACGCAGGCAGAGAGGGCCCAGGCUGGUCAUGGAGCAAGCUGUCCCCGCGAGGCCAUCUGACCGCCAAGCCAGAUUCUCUUGAAUAAAGUACUCUAGUCUGGAAGCGGCUUUCCGGGGGAGUGAGUGUGACCACGAGAGCAGAGGGCAACAGCGGGAAUGGGAGCAGUACGGGACAAAAAGGGACCGUGGGCCGCAAGGCUGCCCAUGGCCCGGCUCCAGCCUGCCCCUGCCCUUCCCUGGCCUUCUUCCAGCUGCUUUAGGCACCACCCUGAGGCCCAUGCCUCCCAGAAAGAGGGUUUCCUAAGAUGGAGCCUUGGCCCCAAACUUGGGGGCACCUGACCCCGGUCAACCCCGAACACUCUCAAAUUCAAGAACAUGGUCCCGGAGUUCCCGUUGUGGCACCGCGGAAACAAAUCCGACUAGGAACCAUGAGGUUGCGGGUUCGAUCCCUGGCCUUGCUCAGUGGGUUGCGGAUCCAGCGUUGCCGUGAGCUGUGGUGUAGGUCGCAGACGCAGCUCGGAUCCCAAGUUGCUGAGGCUGUGGUGUAGGCCAGCCCCUGCAGCUCUGCUUUGACCCCUAGCCUGGAAACCUCCCUAUGCUGUGGUAUGGCCCUAAAAAGC